CACGUAGGGGGCAAGCGUUGUCCGGAUUUAUUGGGCGUAAAGAGCUCGUAGGUGGUUCGGUAAGUCAGGUGUGAAACCUCCAGGCUCAACCUGGAGACGCCACUUGAUACUGCUGUGACUGGAGUCCGGUAGGGGAGCGUGGAAUUCCUGGUGUAGCGGUGAAAUGCGCAGAUAUCAGGAGGACACCAGCGGCGAAGGCGGCGCUCUGGGCCGGUACUGACACUGAGGAGCGAAAGCGUGGGUAGCAAACAGG
rnacentral:rRNA from 1 species